rnacentral:lncRNA from 1 species
CUUCUUAUUAGCUGCAUAGAGGGACAGAAAGCUUGGAUAGAAAAAACGUUUUGCAAACGAGAGUGUAUCUUUGUAAUUCCCAGCACUAAAGACCCUAACAGGUGUUGUUGUGGCCAGCUCACCAACCAGCAUAUCCCCCCACUGCCUGGUAUAACAUCUGGCAAAAAUGAAGAGGAGAAUAAACAGGUGGAGACUCUGCCCGAAAAAUGGUCUGUCAGCAAACACACCCAGAGCUACCCAACAGAUUCCUAUGGAACUCUUGAAUUCCAGGGUGGCGGAUACUCCAAUAAAGCCAUGUAUAUCCGAGUAUCCUAUGACACCAAGCCAGAUUCACUGCUUCAUCUUAUGGUGAAAGAUUGGCAGCUGGAACUCCCCAAGCUCUUAAUAUCUGUGCAUGGAGGCCUCCAGAACUUUGAGAUGCAGCCCAAGCUGAAACAGGUCUUUGGGAAAGGUCUGAUCAAGGCUGCCAUGACCACUGGGGCCUGGAUCUUCACUGGAGGCGUCAGUACUGGUGUUAUCAGCCAUGUAGGGGAUGCCUUAAAAGAUCACUCUUCUAAGUCCAGAGGCCGGGUUUGUGCUAUAGGAAUUGCUCCUUGGGGCAUCGUGGAAAAUAAGGAAGACCUGAUUGGAAAGGAUGUAACAAGAGUGUACCAGACCAUGUCCAACCCCCUAAGCAAGCUCUCAUUGCUCAACAACUCGCACACCCAUUUCAUCCUGGCUGACAAUGGUACCCUGGGCAAAUACGGUGCCGAGGUGAAGCUGCGGAGGCAGCUAGAAAAACACAUCUCUCUACAGAAGAUUAACACAAGACUGGGGCAGGGUGUACCCUCCGUCCCCGUGGUGGUUUGUGAUGGCAGCGGACGAGCCUCAGACAUUCUGUCUUUUGCACACAAGUAUUGUGAAGAAGGAGGAGUAAUAAAUGAAUCCCUCAAGGAUCAGCUUCUAGUUACCAUUCAGAAAACAUUUAAUUACAACAAGACACAAUCACAUCAGCUGUUUGCAAUUAUAAUGGAGUGCAUGAAAAAGAAAGAACUUGUCACUGUGUUUAGAAUGGGUGCCGAAGGUCAGCAGGACAUUGAGAUGUCUAUUUUAACUGCCCUGUUGAAAGGAACAAAUGCAUCGGCUCCAGACCAGCUGAGCUUGGCACUGGCUUGGAACCGGGUCGACAUAGCACGAAGCCAGAUCUUUGUCUUUGGGCCCCACUGGCCGGUAAAUGCUCUGGAACAAGCCAUGCUGGAUGCUUUAGUCUUAGAUCGAGUGGACUUUGUGAAGCUCCUGAUUGAAAAUGGAGUGAAUAUGCAACACUUUCUCACCAUUCCAAGACUGGAAGAGCUUUACAACACACCAUCUGAUUAUAUUUAUCACCAGCGGCCUGAGACAUGGCUUCUUUUCUUCCAGGGCAACUUGCCACCUGAUUACCACAUCAGCCUAAUCGACAUAGGGCUUGUGCUGGAGUACCUCAUGGGCGGGGCGUAUCGCUGCAAUUAUACUCGGAAGAGCUUUCGGACCCUUUAUAACAACUUGUUUGGACCUAAGAGGGAUGAUGAGCCUCCAGCCAAAGGGAAGAAGAAGAAAAAGAAGAAAAAGGAGGAAGAGAUUGACAUUGAUGUAGAUGACCCUGCUGUGAGUCGGUUCCAGUAUCCCUUCCAUGAGCUGAUGGUGUGGGCUGUGCUGAUGAAGCGCCAGAAAAUGGCAGUCUUCCUCUGGCAGCGAGGAGAGGAGAGCAUGGCCAAAGCACUGGUGGCCUGUAAGCUCUACAAGUCCAUGGCCCAUGAAUCCUCCGAGAGUGAGCUGGUGGAUGAUAUCUCCCAGGAUUUGGACAACAACUCAAAAGACUUUGGCCAGCUUGCCGUGGAGUUGUUAGAUCAGUCCUAUAAGCAUGAUGAGCAGAUUGCCAUGAAACUGCUGACUUAUGAGCUGAAGAAUUGGAGCAACUCCACAUGCCUCAAGCUGGCAGUGGCCGCCAAGCACCGGGACUUCAUCGCUCACACCUGCAGCCAGAUGCUGCUGACUGACAUGUGGAUGGGAAGGCUGAGAAUGAGGAAAAACCCCGGCCUAAAAGUUAUAAUGGGGAUUCUUCUUCCCCCUACCAUCUUGUUUUUGGAGUUUCGCACAUAUGAUGACUUCUCUUAUCAGACAUCCAAGGAGAAUGAAGAUGACGCUGGUUCAAGAAAGGGUGAUGAGGAGAAUGAGCACAAAAAGCAAAGAAGCAUUCCCAUUGGAAUGAAAAUCUGUGAAUUCUAUAACGCUCCCAUUGUCAAGUUCUGGUUUUACACGAUAUCGUACUUGGGCUACCUACUGCUCUUCAACUAUGUCAUCCUGGUGCGGAUGGACCGCUGGCCCUGUCUCCAGGAGUGGAUUGUCAUCUCCUACAUCCUGACCCUAGCAUUGGAGAAAAUACGAGAGAUCCUCAUGUCAGAACCAGGCAAACUCAGCCAGAAAAUAAAAGUUUGGCUUCAGGAGUACUGGAACAUCACGGAUCUUGUAGCCAUUUCCAUGUUCAUGAUUGGAGCAAUCCUCCGCCUACAGAAGCAGCCAUACAUGGGCUAUGGCCGAGUGAUCUACUGUGUGGAUAUCAUCUUCUGGUAUAUCCGAGUCCUGGACAUUUUUGGUGUCAACAAAUAUCUGGGGCCCUAUGUGAUGAUGAUUGGAAAGAUGAUGAUUGACAUGCUGUAUUUUGUGGUCAUUAUGCUGGUUGUGCUGAUGAGUUUUGGAGUAGCCCGUCAAGCCAUUUUGCACCCAGAUGAGGAGCCGUCUUGGAAACUGGCCCGAAACAUCUUCUACAUGCCCUACUGGAUGAUCUAUGGAGAGGUGUUUGCAGACCAGAUAGACCCUCCUUGUGGUGACAACCAGUAUGAUGAAGAAGGCAAGCGGCUCCCGCCCUGUAUCCCGGGUGCCUGGCUCACACCUGCCAUCAUGGCGUGCUACCUACUGGUGGCCAACAUCCUGCUUGUGAACUUGCUUAUUGCAGUUUUCAACAAUACCUUCUUUGAAGUUAAGUCAAUAUCCAACCAGGUGUGGAAAUUCCAGCGUUAUCAGCUGAUAAUGACAUUUCAUGACCGGCCAGUCCUACCUCCACCGAUGAUCAUUUUAAGCCACAUCUAUAUAAUCAUUAUGCGUCUUAGUGGUCGCUGUAGGAAAAAAAGAGAAGGGGAUCAAGAUGAGCAGGAUCGUGGUCUAAAGCUGUUUCUCAGCGAUGAGGAGCUGAAGAGGCUGCACGAGUUCGAGGAGCAGUGUGUUCAGGAGCACUUCCAGGAGAAGGAGGAUGAGCAGCAGUCGUCCAGCGAUGAGCGCAUCCGCGUCACUUGUGAGAGGUUUGAAAACAUGUCAAUGAGAUUGGAAGAAAUCAACGAAAGAGAAAAUUUUAUGAAGACGUCCCUACAGACUGUUGACCUUCGACUUUCUCAACUGGAAGAACUGUCUAACAGAAUGGUGAAUGCUCUUGAAAAUCUCGCAGGAAUUGACAGGACGGACCUGAUACAGACACGGUCCCGAGCUUCUUCUGAAUGUGAUGCAACUUAUCUCCUAAGACAAAGCAGUAUCAAUAGUGCCGAUGGCUACAGCAUGUAUAGAUACCAUUUUAAUGGAGAGAAUAAGGAGUCAAAAAUGCAUCUGGUACCAGAGCGUCAGGGCAGCCUUCACCUUUUAUCCAGCACAAGUCCUCCAGCAACACCAGACUGCAGUCAACUUGCAUUAGACAACGUCAAAAAUGCUUCAGAAAUGAAAUUAGGUCCAGAUAUUGGGAUUUCAGCCAAAGAUGAUGGAAGGCAGGUAGACUCCAAAAGGGAAGAAACUAUUCCAAGUGUAAAUGAAACAGAUGUUAUGUACGGACAGAACAAAUCAGAUUUUCAGAACCCUCAGCUAACAGUGGAAACAACACAGAUAGAAGGCACAAUUUCCUAUCCCAUGGAAGAAGCAAAGUUGACACGCUAUCACCCUGAUGAAACCUUCAGUGCUUUUAAAACCAUGAAGUCCAGAAGCUUUGUAUAUUCCCGUGGACAAAAGCUGGUCCGUGGGGUUAACAACUGGAAUACAGAGUACAGUUCAAUCAGGGACCGAGCACACCCCUCUACAGUUCAGCAGUGGACGACAGAAUGGAAAUAUCAAGUUCAAAAGAUUACACGUUCUCGAAGUACCGACAUCCCUUACAUUGUCUCAGAAGCUGUGAUGCAAGCCGAGCAUAAAGAGCAAUUUACCGAUAUCGAAGAUGAUAACUGUGUGUCUGAAAUGGUCCCUCAAAUCUCUCAUUUAUCUGUAGCCGUAACUGACAGAACUGAGAAGGAAAAUUUACUGUCUGUGAAACCAGACCAAACCAUGGGUUUCCCAUCUCUAAGGUCAAAAAGUUUACAUGGCCAUCCUAGGAAAGCUAGAGCCACUCAGGACAAACUAGACAGAUCAGGACAUGCCUGCAGUGUAAGUAACUUAGCAGUUGUGUCUGGAAUUACGACAGAAGAACAGAAGGCCAAGCAAGAGAAAACUUCCACAGAAACUGAAUGUUGA